CAAAAAUUUUUGAGAUUGUGCUUACUGCACUUUUCUUAUCUACACACGUGUUUUUGUUUUAUUCUUAAAACUUGCUUUGGCAGUGGCUGCUUAAUUGCUCUGCUGCCAGAGGAUAAACUCAACCUAAAUUUUUUAUUUUAAACUAGUCAACUGAUUAUAUUUAUUAAUAGUCAAAACUUUCAACAACGGAUCUCUUGGUUCUCGCAUCGAUGAAGAACGCAGCGAAAUGCGAUAAGUAAUAUGAAUUGCAGAUAUUCGUGAAUCAUCGAAUCUUUGAACGCACAUUGCGCCCUCUGGUAUUCCGGAGGGCAUGCCUGUUUGAGCGUCAUUUCUCCCUCAAACCCCCGGGUUUGGUGAUGAGCAAUACGCCAGGUUUGCUUGAAAGUUAGGAGGAGUAUUUAUAACAAUGUAUUAGGUCUAACCACUCCAUUGUGCUUAAUAAAAGCUCCAAUCUAUAUUUCAAACUUCGACCUCAAAUCAGGUAGGAUUACCCGCUGAACUUAAGCAUAUCAAUAAGCGGAGGAA
rnacentral:rRNA from 1 species